GACGAACGCUGGCGGCGUGCUUAACACAUGCAAGUCGAACGGAAAGGCCUCUUUCGGGGGGUACUCGAGUGGCGAACGGGUGAGUAACACGUGAGUAACCUGCCCGUGACUUUGGGAUAACUUCAGGAAACUGGGGCUAAUACCGGAUAGGAGCUCCUGCUGCAUGGUGGGGGUUGGAAAGUUUCGGCGGUUGGGGAUGGACUCGCGGCUUAUCAGCUUGUUGGUGGGGUAGUGGCUUACCAAGGCUUUGACGGGUAGCCGGCCUGAGAGGGUGACCGGCCACAUUGGGACUGAGAUACGGCCCAGACUCCUACGGGAGGCAGCAGUGGGGAAUAUUGCACAAUGGGUGGAAGCCUGAUGCAGCAACGCCGUGUGCGGGAUGACGGCCUUCGGGUUGUAAACCGCUUUCGCUCAUGACGAAGCUUUGUGUGACGGUAGUGGGUAAAGAAGCACCGGCUAACUACGUG
rnacentral:rRNA from 1 species